UAUCAGAAAAGUGGUAGCUCUGAAGAAAUCAUGAAAAUGGACAUGGAAUUUGAAAAGAAGACGACUUUACACAAAGAUCGUUGUAGCAGGAAAACUGGCAUCCUCCUAAUUCUAGGAGUUUGCAUGAUUGUCUUCAUGACCAUGACUUUUGUCAUCUUUUUGCAUCAACAAAAAAAAUUUCUCGAUGUUGGAGAGUUGGAUGAACAGUCAGAGUUCAAAUCUGACUUCAGUCAAUCCUGAUCUUCAGAAAACAG